AUGAGUGCCGAGAACACUAGAAAUGAUGUUCUUGUCCAAGAAAAUUCCCUGUCUCCAGCAGAUAGGAUGAAUGCAGUAGGAACCAACAUGGAAAGUCUUACAAGAGUAGAACUCGACCUUGCAUUUGCCUCUGAGAAGUUGCUAAAUUUGGAGAUGCUGGUGAUGGAAAUAGCUCGCCGAGCUACUGAUUUUGAGCCUCUUACCUUGGAAAGUGGAUCUGUUUCUUCUGAGACUGCUGAGGAUGCCUUCGAGUUGGACACCUUGUAUGGUAUUCUUGAUGCAGAAGUCCAAGAGUUAGAUGACAUGAUCAGUUCUCUUCAGAUUGAUGCUAAAAAUGUUGAGGACAAGGUUUAUGACGAAGAAUCUGGAGGCAAGGUUAAAGCUAAGCUGGAUGCUGCUAUGGCUUCUUUGAAACAGAUGCAGGAUCUAAUUGCCGAUAUCAGAAAGGAGUCUGCAAAGUUCGAGAAACCCAUUGAGUUUUCCAGCGACCAAGCAGGCAUUGCUGAGCAUGGUGUGUGUGAAAAUGGUCAUAUGUCAUCCGUCACUAGCAUGCAUACAGAAGAUGAACGAAGAAAUGUUCUGCAGAUGUUAGAGCAAUCGAUAGCAAGUGAGCUAGAUCUUGAAAAGAAGCUCUCUGAUUCAAGAUAUGCUGUAGAAGAACUUAAAAUGAAGCUUCGUCUUCAAACACAAGAAGCAUCUUUUCUGGAGGAAUUAACAGAAACAAAUUCGGGGAGAUUGUUUGAAGCAGAAAAUGCUUCUGAGGUACUCCUGGGAACUUCCAGGGAACUUAUAAAUGAACUUAAUACCAUACAGGUCCGUUUAAGUGCAUCAAGAUCUAGAGAAGAUGAUCUCAAUUCGAAGUUAGAACGCAGCUUGAUGGAACUGUCUUCUCUGAAAUUAAACCAAGAGAAGAUGCAAGAAGAGAGCAAAAAGGUUGAAACUGAAGAAGCUGUGCAGAACCAGGCACGAUCAAACCCUGAAUUGUUAUCCUUGCAGCAUCAGGUUGAAGAGCUAGAAAAACAUUUCGGGGAAUCUAAUUCACAGUUGUUGUUGGAAAAGGUAUCAUCAGAAGUAAGUCAGGAGAAAGAGAAUGUGAUGCUCAGUGAGCUAAGCACGCUGGAAAGUACCAUUAAGAAUCUCAAAGCUGAUGUCCUAAGAGCUGAAAACAGAGCGCAAAAUGCUGAAGUAAGGUGCAUGCAGCUAACAAAAGAUAAUGUAGAGCUCAGUGGGGAGUUAAGCUCUCUUAAAAGCCAGGGUUCGGAUAAGGCCCGUCUUUUGGAGAGGGAAUUGUCGGAGUCAAAUGCCCAGCUGGAGCAUGCAAAGGCAUCAGUUGCUGCCUUUGCUGAACAGCAGGGUAUGCUGAAAUCUACAGUAUCUGACAUGGAACAUAUGAUUGAAGAUUUGAAAGGAAAGGUUUCAAAAUCCGAAACCAGAGCCCAAAACGCUGAAUCAAAGUGUGCAUUAUUAGGAGACACCAAUUUAGAGCUUAGUGAAGAGCUAUCGUUUCUGAGAGGCCGAGUUGAACGCCUAGAGAGCUCGUUACAUGAAGCUAACCAUGUGAAAGUAGCAACCAUCAAGGACAUUGGUGUCAGAACUAAAGUUAUUACUGAAUUGGUCACGAAACUUGCAAUGGAAAGAGAACGACUUCAUCUCCAGAUUUCUACGUUAACAAAGAAGAACAAGGUAUUGGCUCACAAGUGCAAAGGAACCAGUGUCAAGGAUGGCACAAAGUUGUACAAAAAUGCUACUGGUAAAGAUGCCGAACUUCAGUUCACUACAUCGGCCGAGGAAAUAGUUUCAGAUUCUUCAUCAGCACAGAAUGUGGCGGAGAAAGCCGCGGAUCUUAUCGACGGCAAGGUGGAAGCGGAGGGAAGCACCGGAGGAGAGGAGGAGGAGGAGGACUCCGCCGACGAGGGCGCGCUGCGGACCAUAAAGCCGUCGGCCGCGCUCGGCUGGAAGUACGUCGCCGCGGCGCUCCUCGCGGUGGUGGCCGCCGUCGUCGUGUGCCACCUGCUGCUUGAGAACGGCUGGGAAGGGCGCAUGGCCUAA
rnacentral:rRNA from 1 species